rnacentral:rRNA from 1 species
UACGUAGGGGGCAAGCGUUAUCCGGAUUUACUGGGUGUAAAGGGAGCGUAGGCGGCGAUGCAAGUCAGAAGUGAAAGCCCGGGGCUCAACUCCGGGACUGCUUUUGAAACUGUGUUGCUAGAUUGCAGGAGAGGUAAGUGGAAUUCCUAGUGUAGCGGUGAAAUGCGUAGAUACUAGGAGGAACACCAGUGGCGAAGGCGGCUUACUGGACUGUAAAUGACGCUGAGGCUCGAAAGCGUGGGGAGCAAACAGG